rnacentral:rRNA from 1 species
UUUUAAGUCCAAUCUGCCCAAUGAUAAUUUAAAUGGCUGCAGUAUAUAUAACUGUACUAAGGUAGCAUAAUAAUUUGUUUUCUAAUUAAAAACUAGAAUGAAAGAUUUAAUGAGAUAUAUACUUUAUUAAUUUUAAUAAUUUAAAUUAUUAUUUAAGUAAAAAAACUUAAAUAAAUUUUAUAGACAAUAAGACCCUAUAAAAUUUUAUUUUUUUAAAAAUAAAUAUUUUUAAAAAAAUUUAAUUGGGGUAAUUAAAAAAUUAUAUAAACUUUUUUAAAUUAUUACAUAAAUAUAUGAAUAAAUUUUCUUAAAAUUUAAAUUAUUAAAAUUAAUUACUUUAGGGAUAACAGCAUAA